rnacentral:rRNA from 1 species
GGGUUGUGAGGUUAAGCGACUAAGCGUACACGGUGGAUGCCCUGGCAGUCAGAGGCGAUGAAGGACGUGCUAAUCUGCGAUAAGCGUCGGUAAGGUGAUAUGAACCGUUAUAACCGGCGAUUUCCGAAUGGGGAAACCCAGUGUGAUUCGUCACACUAUCAUUAACUGAAUCCAUAGGUUAAUGAGGCGAACCGGGGGAACUGAAACAUCUAAGUACCCCGAGGAAAAGAAAUCAACCGAGAUUCCCCCAGUAGCGGCGAGCGAACGGGGAGCAGCCCAGAGCCUGAAUCAGUGUGUGUGUUAGUGGAAGCGUCUGGAAAGGCGUGCGAUACAGGGUGACAGCCCCGUACACAAAAAUGCACAUGCUGUGAGCUCGAUGAGUAGGGCGGGACACGUGGUAUCCUGUCUGAAUAUGGGGGGACCAUCCUCCAAGGCUAAAUACUCCUGACUGACCGAUAGUGAACCAGUACCGUGAGGGAAAGGCGAAAAGAACCCCGGCGAGGGGAGUGAAAAAGAACCUGAAACCGUGUACGUACAAGCAGUGGGAGCACGCUUAGGCGUGUGACUGCGUACCUUUUGUAUAAUGGGUCAGCGACUUAUAUUCUGUAGCAAGGUUAACCGAAUAGGGGAGCCGAAGGGAAACCGAGUCUUAACUGGGCGUUAAGUUGCAGGGUAUAGACCCGAAACCCGGUGAUCUAGCCAUGGGCAGGUUGAAGGUUGGGUAACACUAACUGGAGGACCGAACCGACUAAUGUUGAAAAAUUAGCGGAUGACUUGUGGCUGGGGGUGAAAGGCCAAUCAAACCGGGAGAUAGCUGGUUCUCCCCGAAAGCUAUUUAGGUAGCGCCUCGUGAAUUCAUCUCCGGGGGUAGAGCACUGUUUCGGCAAGGGGGUCAUCCCGACUUACCAACCCGAUGCAAACUGCGAAUACCGGAGAAUGUUAUCACGGGAGACACACGGCGGGUGCUAACGUCCGUCGUGAAGAGGGAAACAACCCAGACCGCCAGCUAAGGUCCCAAAGUCAUGGUUAAGUGGGAAACGAUGUGGGAAGGCCCAGACAGCCAGGAUGUUGGCUUAGAAGCAGCCAUCAUUUAAAGAAAGCGUAAUAGCUCACUGGUCGAGUCGGCCUGCGCGGAAGAUGUAACGGGGCUAAACCAUGCACCGAAGCUGCGGCAGCGACGCUUAUGCGUUGUUGGGUAGGGGAGCGUUCUGUAAGCCUGCGAAGGUGUGCUGUGAGGCAUGCUGGAGGUAUCAGAAGUGCGAAUGCUGACAUAAGUAACGAUAAAGCGGGUGAAAAGCCCGCUCGCCGGAAGACCAAGGGUUCCUGUCCAACGUUAAUCGGGGCAGGGUGAGUCGACCCCUAAGGCGAGGCCGAAAGGCGUAGUCGAUGGGAAACAGGUUAAUAUUCCUGUACUUGGUGUUACUGCGAAGGGGGGACGGAGAAGGCUAUGUUGGCCGGGCGACGGUUGUCCCGGUUUAAGCGUGUAGGCUGGUUUUCCAGGCAAAUCCGGAAAACUAAGGCUGAGGCGUGAUGACGAGGCACUACGGUGCUGAAGCAACAAAUGCCCUGCUUCCAGGAAAAGCCUCUAAGCAUCAGGUAACAUCAAAUCGUACCCCAAACCGACACAGGUGGUCAGGUAGAGAAUACCAAGGCGCUUGAGAGAACUCGGGUGAAGGAACUAGGCAAAAUGGUGCCGUAACUUCGGGAGAAGGCACGCUGAUAUGUAGGUGAAGCGACUUGCUCGUGGAGCUGAAAUCAGUCGAAGAUACCAGCUGGCUGCAACUGUUUAUUAAAAACACAGCACUGUGCAAACACGAAAGUGGACGUAUACGGUGUGACGCCUGCCCGGUGCCGGAAGGUUAAUUGAUGGGGUCAGCGCAAGCGAAGCUCUUGAUCGAAGCCCCGGUAAACGGCGGCCGUAACUAUAACGGUCCUAAGGUAGCGAAAUUCCUUGUCGGGUAAGUUCCGACCUGCACGAAUGGCGUAAUGAUGGCCAGGCUGUCUCCACCCGAGACUCAGUGAAAUUGAACUCGCUGUGAAGAUGCAGUGUACCCGCGGCAAGACGGAAAGACCCCGUGAACCUUUACUAUAGCUUGACACUGAACAUUGAGCCUUGAUGUGUAGGAUAGGUGGGAGGCUUUGAAGUGUGGACGCCAGUCUGCAUGGAGCCGACCUUGAAAUACCACCCUUUAAUGUUUGAUGUUCUAACGUUGACCCGUAAUCCGGGUUGCGGACAGUGUCUGGUGGGUAGUUUGACUGGGGCGGUCUCCUCCUAAAGAGUAACGGAGGAGCACGAAGGUUGGCUAAUCCUGGUCGGACAUCAGGAGGUUAGUGCAAUGGCAUAAGCCAGCUUGACUGCGAGCGUGACGGCGCGAGCAGGUGCGAAAGCAGGUCAUAGUGAUCCGGUGGUUCUGAAUGGAAGGGCCAUCGCUCAACGGAUAAAAGGUACUCCGGGGAUAACAGGCUGAUACCGCCCAAGAGUUCAUAUCGACGGCGGUGUUUGGCACCUCGAUGUCGGCUCAUCACAUCCUGGGGCUGAAGUAGGUCCCAAGGGUAUGGCUGUUCGCCAUUUAAAGUGGUACGCGAGCUGGGUUUAGAACGUCGUGAGACAGUUCGGUCCCUAUCUGCCGUGGGCGCUGGAGAACUGAGGGGGGCUGCUCCUAGUACGAGAGGACCGGAGUGGACGCAUCACUGGUGUUCGGGUUGUCAUGCCAAUGGCACUGCCCGGUAGCUAAAUGCGGAAGAGAUAAGUGCUGAAAGCAUCUAAGCACGAAACUUGCCCCGAGAUGAGUUCUCCCUGACUCCUUGAGAGUCCUGAAGGAACGUUGAAGACGACGACGUUGAUAGGCCGGGUGUGUAAGCGCAGCGAUGCGUUGAGCUAACCGGUACUAAUGAACCGUGAGGCUUAACCUUACAACGCCGAAGGUGUUU